rnacentral:lncRNA from 1 species
GCUGCUGGUUACUGUUCGUUUGCGUUAAUUUGCACUGAGUCGCUCUUCAUACACGCCUCCGAAAUAGGAUACCGUCUGACCUGGGGAGUGCUGCAAAGGCCAGUGACCUUGUCCACCCAAGCUUUUGCUCUGCAGACCCUUUCCGUAAGCGACUGUUUACGUGGGGAAGUGUGGAUAGUCUUCGACUAGGUGGCUGGUUUGCACUUUAAUUGCACUAGAGGAAAAAUGAUUGCUCGGUUUUCUUUUUUUUUCCCCUUAGAAAUGUUAAGAAAAUUAAUCCACAAACACCAGAGGUUUAUGUCCAAAAAGGAGACAGAAGAGUCCUUUCUGGCUUUAUUCGAAUAAAGGGAGAGGCCCUGGGGCAUUCCCCUGGGAUCUCUCAAAUUUUUGGAGGAGUCAGCCUCCUUUUUAUCCUAAUUUCGCGGCCACAUUUUCCUUCUGUCUUUCCCCAUUGGCUGAGGUACUUGAGAGGUACAGACUCCCCGAUGUGCCUGAUACUAAAGAUUUCCCUCUAAUGUAUAACCCUCCCUUUUAAUUUUUACGGAAUUUGGAGGUUUUUCUUUCCCAUUUUUUCUUUCAUCUUUCAAUGUCUAAUUUUAUCAGAGAACCUAAAGUUUAUUUGUAAAAGCAAAUAUCUUUUUCCUUCAUCAAUCAGUGGAAUCCUUCCCAUUGUUUAUUUUAUCUUCCAGAGCUAGUUUUAUCUACCAGCAGACCCACAGCUUGUUUGUUAAGACAAAUCUGCUAUUCCUCUCAGAAAUAAAGAGCUAAAAAUUAGUACAAGCAUACCUGGAGCCCAGUAUCUGGUGUGGUACGCUAUGUGGUCUGUUGCUUUGUGUCCUUUUGUUUUCUAGAAAUGUUACUAAAGACUUUCUGUAAAGCUGGUGAAAUGAACUGUUACAGAUAUUUCUGCUGUGACUGUGAACUGCUCUUCCCGAGUAGCUCAUGGGCCCUGACUGGAGAGAUGAGACAACAUGGAGAUCAGAAAAGAUCUGUAGGCAGAGACUUUGUAGUCAAGAGCUACUAUGAUAGUGGGCUUCUCCUGCAGCACUACAACUGUUGAUCAGAAAGAGAUGUGCGAACAUCGGAGUUGGAGAGAUGGGGAGAAAGAGCUUCAAUUUGAUCGUUAAAAGGCACAGAAUGCUUUCAUCCUUUUGGUAAGAUGCAGUUAAAACUUUUAAACAGACUGAGCAUUGCUUUUUAUGUCUGUGGCUGUUUUUCAGUUUGACCAGGGUAGUUGGGGAUGGCUUUAGAAGCUCAUGAAAUCAUAUUAUAUAAUUGAAUAUCUAAAAUCUGUUUAUCCUAAUUACUGCACUUGUUUGCAGCAGUGUGUGUAGCUCUCAGGUUAUCUACGAGAAUCUGGUAAGUGGGCAAGGUGAGCAGUGACCAGUGGAUGGAAGCAGUUGGUAUUGCUCAGGUGCGAUUUCUGGUGUGACUCUUAGCCUCUGUUCUCGUUUGUGUGCUUUAGGUGGUCCAGUGGUAUUACGCCGAGACCCCCUCAGCAACUGGCCGACACACCCGGUUUGUCGCUCCCUGUUUGUUGCGGGAAUUGUUAUUGAGGAGUAAAUUUGUGUUUGAAUUAUUAUAUAUAUAUUUUUGAUGUGUUAUUAUGUUGAGUCUUAGUCAUGUUGUUUUAAAUUAUAGUUUUGAUUCUUUGAGGUAACUUUUUGUGUUUUCUUGUUUGAGUUUUUUGGUAACUAAAUACAGGUUUUUUUUGGUGAUGGUUUUAGUAAUUUUGAUUUUUGUGGUUUAGCUGUAAUUUGGGUAAGAGUGUAUAAAUAAUUUUUUAAGAGUUUAUGUUAUGUAUUGGAUUAUUUGAUUUGCAAUUUAAAUUUUGUGAGGGAUAAGGUUAGUUAAGAGGUAUACUAACGAGGUAUGUAGAAAAUGGAUUUUUCAGAUUGGUGACCAAUAAACACUGUAUUUGGAUGUGUGGUUUUAGUUAG